rnacentral:rRNA from 1 species
AUAUACAACCAUACCACCCUGACUGAACAGGCUGAUCUUGUGUGAUGUCAGAAGCAAAGCAGGACUGGACUUGGUUAGUACUUGCAUGGGAAACUACCUGGGAAUAAUACUGGGGGUUGUAGGCU